rnacentral:ncRNA from 1 species
AUGCGAAAAGGGCAAAAUCACCGAAAGUUGAUGACGCAAAGCUAAAGGGGCUUCAUUGGAAUGUCAGUAUGCCAGCCAGCUGCCGGA